rnacentral:miRNA from 1 species
AGUGGGAUAGCUGGGUCAAAUGGUUUUCAUAGGAAUCUUCAUACUACUUUCCAGAUUGGCUGCACCAAUUUGCAGUCCCACCAGCAAU